GCUUACAGGGUACUUAGAGCAUGCGGCCCUCAUCCAGCAAAUGGAACAGUGCUCGAGGCAGUGAACUCGGCUGAGGACAGUGGGAUGCCUUGGAGUGACACCAGAUGUGAUGGGGUAUUUUACAGAACACUUCAGUGUCAGAUGUUGAAAAACAAAACCAGACCUUUAUGACCAUCUAGCCCCUUUCUUUCCUCCUCCUGCCCUUGAUAAUGAGGACCGGCGUGAUGGAGCCCACCAGAUACAGCCAUUUCCUCACUGGUGCUAGCUGGGAAGGAGCAAUUCCUGGAGAAAUGGCAGAACUAAAGAUCAGUGUUGUCUGGGCAGAGCAGCUGCUGUGCUCCAGAGCAGAGUGAAGGAGCAGGAAGGGCAGGGAGCGCUGACCAUGGGGUCACGUUGGCUCCAGGCGAGCUGGGAGGGGGAAGGACGUGGGUCCAGGAGAAAUUCGAGGGAAGAAGCAAGAGGCAGCAGGGAUUAAAGCUGUGGCUCAGCCAGGAUGAGCUCAGCACCCGGCCCCCUGCGCUCCCACCAGCACAGGGAUGCUCUGGAUACGCUGCAGAUGGAUUCUGGGUGGCUUGGGGGGUUCGGUGCCCAUGGGAUAAGAGGUCGGGGGGGGGGGGUCAUGCCCUGGUGCAGGGCCCUGGCUCCGCCUGACCCCGUGCUCUGUGCCCAUGGACACAGGGAGUGAGUGAGGAGCUGGAGCAGCGUGAGCGAACCCAAAUGUGUUUCCACUUAGCUGCUCCUCCGAGGCCAAAUGAUGUAACUCCACGGAGCCCUGCAGUAUGUUGGCAGGAGGAGCCCGGUGACAACUCCAACUGUAAGUUCCUGAGCUAAUGAGCAGGAAAGUUGAAUAAAA